GGCGUCGGUUACGUCAUAAACUGGAGUUGGGAGCUGGACUUUCUAGUUACAAUUCCCGGUUGUACUUUGUACUUGCAGCUCCCAACUGCAGCAUAUGAUUCAGCACAACUGCAGCAUAUGAUUACUGCAUAUGUACACUGUAUAGAAGUACACUAACUAAUUUACUCACUUACUGAUAAUCACACACACACGCGCUGGUGCAUCUGCUGUGCAUACCUCAAGGAUGCUCGCAGCCCAGAUGCAGCUACCUGUGCAGCCGUGUUGCACGCUUGCAAGUGGUUGUUUACAUUCUUUUACCGCAUGGAGCGGCAUUGGCACAUUAGCGCAACUGGCUCGUCAGCGAUGUUGCUGCAUACCAUGCGCGUCUCUUAUUGAUUGAAAACACUUAUAGUAAUGCUGCGCACUUAUAAUAUACAAAUUAUUUGUCAACUUAUCGAGUAGUUUAAUUGCUUAACUGGAUUGUGCACGGCUUAUAUAUAAUUGUGAAACUUGACAUGCGCCCAAUGGUUGGAGUACUGUACGGAUGGAUGGAUGGUACUGUACUAUAUGGAUACUACUGUACACUGUACAGUUAUAUUGGUUUACUUUCACUGCUUGAUUCAACAAGUUGUUUACAUUCUUUUACACUAUGGAGGAGCACUUUAACGCAUCUGGCUCGUCAAAGCCUUUCAACGCAUAUCUACUGCGUGCAUGCUUAUGCGUGCGUGCAGAUCAACUGGAAAAAGUCCGCCAGGGUCGCUGCAAAAUUUUUUCCACUGGAGCCAAAGCCACAUUUCUGUUAACGAUUACUCCGCUAAUUGCAGAAUUUAUGAAUUUCUUGUACACGAAUUUCGGGGCUGCUAUAAACAACGAGGGUUUGAGUGGAAAAAGUUGGCCUGAACUUCUCAAAGAAUUUUUCCACCUUGUCAACGAAUGGAAAAUCAUCGCCAUACAACCUUGAAGCCGGACUCGCAUGGCCGGAAAUAUUUCAGUUUCCGGUAAUAGUGAUCCAAUAACGCGAGAGCAUCACUGAUGGACUUUGCACCAUUGACUGUGAUCUUGCCGUUGCGGUACACUUGGCAGUGCGAUUUGUAAGGACGAAUGGAACGGAGAAGAAGCCCGGAAAAUUUAUGUGGUGCAUAAUGAGAAAGCGGAGCGCGUUCGGAUAAGCUGGGUAAGUCAAUUGCGCAGCCAAGGUCAGCAGUUGCAACAACGUUAGUUAUUUUCGCCAUUCAGCCAAUUUGCAAAUGUCUCCGCUUUUGAAAGCGUUGUUUGUGGUAAUGAAGUAAGCUCCUUAAACUUCGGGCACCCAAUGUCUUCAAGAUUAAACACUUCAGGCAAAUAAUUUUCCAAAAUCUUUUGCUUUUCCAAUCCUUUGGCAAAAAACGUCAAACGCGCAGGUCGUUCACCAAUAAGC